rnacentral:lncRNA from 1 species
GGCGUCUGGCCACCCUUCAUCUUUCAGCCGUUGCCCUGUUCUUGGUGAACUGCUUGUUAGGACCAAAAGUGGCCCACCCCUUUCUCUGGGACAGUGCAGAGCACCGGGGCCAGAGGCUCAAAGCACCUCCAAGCUGAGAUCAGAGACUUUGGGUAUCGUUGAUCCAGAGGCUUCCAAACUUUUCCUGGUGAUUGAAUUCUUACCAUGAAAUCCAGUGAGGAGCUCCAAUGCCUCAAGCAGAUGGAAGAGGAACUGCUCUUCUUGAAGGCAGGGCAGGGCUCUCAGAGGGCAGGACUCACCCCACCCCUGCCACGGGCUCUCCAGGGUAACUUUGGAGCCCCAGCACUCCGUGGAAUAUGGUUCACAGAACACUUGCAUCCUGCUGUUGUGAUGCCCCCAAACUAUAAUAGCAGCAUGCUCAGUCUUUCACCAGAAAGAACCAUCUUAUCUGGAGGAUGGUCAGGAAAACAAACUCAACAGCCAGUGCCUCCCCUCAGAACUCUGCCCCUGAGGUCUCCUUUCAGUCUGCAUAAGUCCUCCCAACCUGGGCACCCCAAAGCUUCUCAGCAGAUCCAUCCCCUCUUCCAUUCUCUCCCAAGGUCUCAGCUGCAUUCUGUUCUGCCUGGUCUUCCUCUCCUCUUCAUACAGACUAGACCUUCACCCCCUGCCCAGUAUGGCGCGCAAAUGCCAUUGAGAUACAUUUGUUUUGGUCCCAAUGUCUUUUGGGGCUCCAAAAAGCCCCAGAAAGAGUAAUGCCUUCAGCCAUGGCCCAUGUGAUGACUUUUCCCAGAGACAGCCCCAUGGGUCAGUGAUCGCCGGUGGGAGAUCUCCCCAGCCUCCCUUCAAGCCUUCAAGUCUGUGUAGAGGCGCCUUCUGUUCUCUGGGCAUUCCCCGCUUUGUUGCAGAGAAAUUAUUUUCUACUCAGCGGCUUUCAGGUAAAGAGAGAAAGUGCAUGCGGUAUGAAGGAUGUGAAGAUGGAGGGCUUGACGUCGUGGGUCAUGUUUUGUGGUUAAUUCCCCCACAUAACAAAACAGUGAGCAAAUGUUUAUAAACAGGAACUCAGUGUUUCAGUGAUGAAAGCCUCUGGCCUCGCCACACUGAUUGCUGGUGUGCGUGUGCACACACACACUCACACACCCUGUUUUUCUUACACACACACAGCUUCAUGGAGCAGAGAGAUGGAAAGGGUGUCCAGAAUGGUGGAUCAGGCUUAUUAUUAUUACUUUUUUUAAAAUCUCCACCAAGCUCUCUCUCUCCUUAAGCCCCAGCAGCCCAACCCCCCCUCCCCCACCAGACAGCAUGUCGAAGGAGUAAGCUGCAGGUCAGCCUAUAUUUUAGGCAGAAAAUUAGGCAACCUUGGGAGAGACCGGUUUCCAGCAGACACGCACGGACGCGAUGGUGAGGUUGGGCUGAGACGAUCCUUCCUGGAUGCAGUCACCUUCCCCAUCCCGAGUUUUACUCCCUGGGGGGAUUGUGGUGGGUGCCUGGGCUCCUCUCCCACCAGCGCACUGCCCCAAGCUUGCCUAGGUAGUAUCAGCACUGGGGUGAGGGAUGCAAUGCGGGUUUAUAGUUGGCUGUGGGGACUUCUGAUUUCUCCACCCCAUAGAUGAUAAACGACUGCGGGGCUUCCUCUCCCAGGUCUUUCCUCACUCUCCUUCGUCUUUCCCUCUUUCUCCAUGGGAAAGGUAGAAUGAGACUUGCCACCAGGGACAUCCAGGCACAUUCCUCUUCCCAAUCAGCCUCUACCCAUUCUCUUUCUGUCUCGUGUGUAUCAGUGGCAUUUUCUUGUGUAGCUUCCCGGAUUUGCAAACCCGCUCCACAUCCUGGACGCAGACCCCCAUCGCUGGCUCUAUGAAGGCUUCACGUUCCUGGGGCAUUCGAGACUUGACUUUCCAGAGCAGCUUUGGAUCCACGCUGUUCCCCUUUGUUUUGUUUUGUUUUGUUUUGUUUUGAGAGAUAGUCUCGCUCUGUUGCCCAGGCUGGAGUGCAGUGGCGUGAUCUCGGCUUACUGCAACCUCCGCCUACUGGGUUCAAGUGAUUCUCUUGCCUCAAUCUCCCCAGUAGCUGGGAUUACAGGUAGACACCAUCACGCCUGGCUAAUUUUUGUAUUUUUAGUAAAGACAGGGUUUCAUCAUGUUGGCCUGGCUGGUCUCAAACUCCUGACCUCAGGCGAUCCGCCCGCCUCAGCCUCCCAAAGUUCUGGGAUUACAAGCGUGAACCACCGUGCCCAACCUCCCCUCGUUUUUGACCUUUGUCCCCAAAUGUCUUUCAUCCAGUGACUAGGACUUGUAGCCUUUUUGCAAAUAGGUAUCUGUAAGCAUAGAAGAAUAGGGAGAUUUGUGAAGUGACCCUUGGUGGCAUCUGUGGUUGUCCUAUUAAUCAGAUUUGCAGAAGAAACAUGGAAAAAAGGAAACUCCUCUCUUAUAUUAAAAUAAAUAAGGUUUUUAAUUUC